CAUUAGCCAAUAAGCACCAGGCCUUUGGGCCUCCAAUGAUCAUUGAACUAAUGGACUCAUUAUCACUCACUUAAUGGGAGGCUAUGACUUAGUUAUCAUUAUAAUUUAAUCAUUUUAGGGACCUAAUAAUUUUGAGGAUUUUAUUAAAGAAUAGUAGAGAAGAUAUCAUCCAGUUAAUUUUAAUCCUCCCACUGACUUCACCAAGUCAGAUUAAAAAAAAGAUUUAAUUAAAGCUGGCAUUAGGAGCACCUAAAUCAGUCACACUGAUUUACCUAAUGACAUGGGUGAGCUCUAAUCACCAAGUGAUCUAAUUAAAAUCUAACUUACCAAAUUGGCCAGGUAAGUGAGAUCAGUGGUGGGGAUUUGUCACUAACUCGUCAAUGAUCGAAUCAAUGCGAGUAGCUUCUGCUUAAGAACCACUGGUCAAAACUGCCGAACUUACCUUAGACACCAACCGAUUCAUUAGUUUUAAUUUUGAUCAACAUAGUAAAUAGGGCUCUACCGCGUAGCCAUGAAUUAAGUCCAUCUUGGUCUAGUUAAAGACAUGGACCCAUUCAACUACAACUAUUGAAGUUGAGUCUAAAGUAUCCUUGACCUAAUCUAAUUCGACUUUUGAUUAGAUUUGAUCAAUUACUCCAUUUAGUCCAUUUUUAAGCUAACCUUAGGUCUAACCCAAUUAUGGACCUAAUUCAUCUAACCCAUUGACCCACAAGUUUAUGCAAUUGUCUUAGGUCUUAAUUCACAAUUCUAGACCCACUAGACAACACUUAAUUCUUUUAAUUAAGUACUUGGGCUGAUGGGUCAGGGUUUGGUAUUUCGAAAAUAAUUUUCAAAUUUUGAAAGAUUUUAUUUUCUGUUCACCAAAUGUGUUGACUCAUUUCACAAACGGAUCAGCACAAUUCAUAAACAGCAAUCCUAUUGCUCAUUUCAUAAUAGAAAAUAACUCAAAAUAAAUCAUGAAUUUUCUUUUAGAUCUAAUCUAAUACAUUCAUGAUAAAUUUCUUAAUUAAAUCCUUUCGCUGCUUCAUCGACAUGGGAUAUAAUUGCAUCGGCACCCCUACCGCCAUAGGAGAUCCCAUCGAAUGGGAAGAGAGGGCCUUUAAACCCUACUUUUCUCCUAUGACCAGACGGCCAUGGCAACCAACCCAAUUAGAUUACUUGCUACUUGGAUCAAGUAUAUCUAAAUA
rnacentral:lncRNA from 1 species